rnacentral:rRNA from 1 species
GAUGAACGCUGGCGGCGUGCCUAAUACAUGCAAGUCGAGCGGAGCGGGGACGGGUGAGUAACACGUGGAUAACAUCCUAUAAGACUGGGGUAAAUUAGGGAAACCGGAGCUAAUCCGGAAUCUUAUCGAAGGAUCUGCGCGGCAUUAGCUAGUUGGUAAGGUAACGGCUUACCAAGGCAACGAUGCAUAGCCGACCUGAGAGGAUGAUCGGCCACACUGGAACUGAGACACGGUCCAGACUCCUACGGGAGGCAGCAGUGGGGAAUCUUCCGCAAUGGGCGAAAGCCUGAUGGAGCAACGCCGCGUGAGUGAUGAAGGUCUUCGGAUCGUAAAGCUCUGUUAUUAGGGAAGCGGUACCUAAUCAGAAAGCCCCGGCUAACUACGUGCCAGCAGCCGCGGUAAUUC